rnacentral:rRNA from 1 species
GACAGAGGGUGCAAACGUUGUUCGGAAUUACUGGGCGUAAAGCGCGUGUAGGCGGCCUCGCAAGUCGGGUGUGAAAGCCCUGGGCUCAACCCAGGAAGUGCACUCGAUACUGCAAGGCUUGAGUUCCGGAGAGGAAAGCGGAAUUCUCGGUGUAGAGGUGAAAUUCGUAGAUAUCGGGAGGAACACCGGUGGCGAAGGCGGCGACCUGGGUGGAUACUGACGCUGAGGUGCGAAAGCGUGGGGAGCAAACAGG